UUGCGUGUUUAGAAGUUUUCUCAAUGAUAAGUUGAAUAAGCGCAAGAUUUAGUUUUAUAUAUAAAACUUUUAUUAUCAAUAAAACUGCAAGUACAAUAUUGAACUUUUCAAUACUCAUUUUUGCUUCACUUAUUCAACUUUCUGCGAGCAGAUAUAAAGGUUUAAAUAAUACGUAACAGAAACGAGAACGGGGUGCCGCGUGAAUCACAAUGCAAGUUCCACAAUUCGAGUAUGUAUUUGCCGUGGUUGUACUUACUAUAUUAGCAGUAUACAUGGUAGUGACUGCAUACAAGCUUCAAUGAAAGUACAUUAUGGACGAUCUUCCAUAGACAAUGUAUACAUAGCUCAAUGUCAAUAUCACAAAUUUUAAAAUGGCGCAAAGAAUAAUCAUGAAUGUAAAUAUAUUUUGUUGUUAAAAUAAAUUUUAUAAAAUAAAAUAAAUAAUCAUAAAAAAAGACAGUUUUCAAGCACCGCAUAUGAAGCCGUGGGUUGGUUUCACAAUUAUUUUCGUAGGUUUUCUAUGGAUCACCAUGCUGAUAUACAACAUUCCUAAUUUGUUUUGUGUUCAGUUGUCGCUCAUACAAAGAAACCCUGAUAUACAUCCUAUAUUCGUCCUUAAAAAAUAGGACUUUGCUCUGUGUAAUUAAACCUUUGUCAUAGGUGUGUUACAAGGUGUUAGUUAUGUACAGAAAACUGGUGAAGAAAAUGGUUCAGCAAGAGCCAAUUUCCUACCUACAAUAGUAAAUCUACUUUUAGCGGACAUUUUUAAAACGGACACUUUCUACAAUGGACACUUUUCCUAGGAACGAAUGAGAUGAUUGUUAAACCCUCCCUCAUCCCGAGGAUUUUUUUCCAAAAAGGAAAAAGUUCCUUGUGACGAGGGUGUGGUAAACGCUUCAGCAAAAUCUCUAGGUUGAGGAAACAUUAUAGCAGUGACCUCGCUAAAGCGGACGUCAUUUCAAGGUCCCAUUCAGAACUAAAUAAGGUAUACCCCCCCCCCCCCCCCUUCCCCACUCUGCCCCCAGAUGUGACCCAUAUAUAACAAUUGGUCAUAAGAUAUUAUCGUAAGAACUUUAUAUGUAUUUCUUAACCAAAAACAGCCCUGCGAAGUCUUCUGUUGCUUUUACCAACUUAUUGGUAGCCAACUGCGUUCGCUAAGAGCAAAUUCUCAAAGUUUAAGUCUGUUUUAAUUUUUUAAAUAAAAAUAAAUAUUUCAUAAUAUAUCAUUCUUACGCUGCAUAUUUCAACUAAAGAUAAUCUUGUAACCAACGGUGAAUUUAUACACUAAAGUGGAAAUGUAAACAAAAAGUUAAAAAAAUAUAAAAAUUGAUGCUAAUAGCAAUGUGACACAGAUGAUACUUUUAAAAAGUUCUAAAGCACACGUUAUCGUGUUAGGUGCAAGAAUAUUUUUUCUUCUUUUCCUCCUUAAGACCUCCUUAUUUUUCACCAAUCUUAUAAAAACACACAUGCAAGGUAUAGUUAUCCCCUCAACGCUCCCUCAAUUCAUUUUCCAAACAUUUGUUUAAAUUUUGCCUAAAAUCUAUUUUUUCAAUUUAAUUUACAUUGCAACCUUUUUGCUGGGAGCCGAAGAUGGUAGCCUUCAAUUUAGAAUUAUAGUCAGAAUUUAACGGUUGUUUAUGACUGUCAGGGCUGUACAACCAUGGGGGAGCGGAUAAGGGCACGUCACCCAAAAUGUUUGUUGGCUAUGGUUAACACGAAGAGAGGGUUAUGCAGAGGUUUUGUUUUUAAAAUAGCUUCAGGAGUUAAUACCACAAACAUUUUCAUUGCGGCCUUAGGCCGGAGGUGCCUCAUACGGCGGUAAAUUAUUUGCUCUUUUAAUUUGCACCCCUCCAACAACCUCACAACAAACAAACAAACUUGAGUGUAAGAUGCUUCGGACCUGAUUGUUCUGCAUUUUUGUGGCUAACACACUAGAUGCAUCAAGGUAUUUUUCCCAAAAUAGCACAUACCCGUGAAUACAGAACUGAUUGAUUUCUGUAGCUACUCAUAAACGGUACAGCUGCGGUUCAGUUAUUUGUAGUUCUUAAAUAACCCAUAAAUUUUGAUUUCACUAAGACGUUUAGUUUGUAAAAAUCCUUAAAGUUUUUUCAUCAAGAUUUUCUUAUAAAACAACUUUUCUUUAACAAAAUAUAUGUUUACACACACAAAAACACAUCCCACGUGGGCUAGAUAAACAGUUAUUGAGAAUGAAAUGUCUUAUCAGCACAAUUUUUUGUUGUUCUAAGAAAUUAACUUUGCUUGUGUUUACUUAAGAUCAAUGAAACGGUUUUCAUUCAGGCUAGGAGUGUGUAAGUCGUUUAGAUUUCGUUAAAAUAAACAGACACAAGCAGCGAAUGAAUAUUAACAAAAUAAGGAAAUAAUACGUUUGGAAGAAGUUAUAGUACCUACCACACCGGGUUAAAAAGAUUAUUUAUUGGACGAUUUGUUAUACAGCAUGGCAGAAAAAAUAAAAUCCCCGCAAUUUGAAUACCUGUUUGCUGUCUUUGUGUUAUCUAUGAUAGCUAUCUAUAUGGUGGUGACUGCGUACAAGCUUCAGUAGCUACAGAACAAACAAAGAAAAGACGUUAAGCAUAUUUAUAGAAAAAAUACUCCUUUUGUAAAUAUAUUUGCAAGAUUGCUUAAUCUUCUAGCGAUGUAAAUAUUACCAACGAAAUAUUUUGAUAACAAAUAAAAGUCUCUUUCAAUCCCA